GACGAACGCUGGCGGCGUGCUUAACACAUGCAAGUCGAACGGAAAGGCCCUGCUUGCCGGGUACUCGAGUGGCGAACGGGUGAGUAACACGUGGGUGAUCUGCCCUGCACUUCGGGAUAAGCCUGGGAAACUGGGUCUAAUACCGGAUAGGAGCCAUUUUUAGUGUGAUGGUUGGAAAGUUUUUUCGGUGUAGGAUGAGCUCGCGGCCUAUCAGCUUGUUGGUGGGGUAAUGGCCUACCAAGGCGGCGACGGGUAGCCGGCCUGAGAGGGUGGACGGCCACAUUGGGACUGAGAGACGGCCCAGACUCCUACGGGAGGCAGAAGUGGGGAAUAUUGCACAAUGGGCGCAAGCCUGAUGCAGCGACGCCGCGUGGGGGAUGACGGCCUUCGGGUUGUAAACUCCUUUCGCUAGGGACGAAGCUUUUUGUGACGGUACCUAGAGAAGAAGCACCGGCUAACUACGUG
rnacentral:rRNA from 1 species